CGGUGAAUCGGUCUUUCCGGUGAGUUCCUCCGCAGGGAAGGUUGUCAGACGCCGGGUACUUUGCAUUUUCAAUUUAGCCGAUAAGUAAUCGUUGAAUUGUGACACAAUCGGUUCUGUUUUAUAAAGUUCGACUGAACAAGUACCCGAGCACCACGAAACGUUCUCCAGAUCAACAAGUAAAAAGAGGACUAAUAUUCCAAGAAACUUCAGACACCUAAGGAACUCACUAUGUACGGCAGCAGCUACGGCAGUUACGGCGGCGGGUUCGGCGGCGGACGGAUGGGAAUGAAGAGCAGCCAGCCGGGCGGCAACCUGCGCCGGCCCGACUGGUCGUCCAUCAAGCUGACACCCAUUCAGAAGGACUUCUACCAGCCGCUGCCCCAGGUGCAGGCCCGCAGCCAGUCUGAGAUCGAGGCCUACCGCGCCAGCAAAGAGGUGACGGUGCGCGGUUCGUCCGUGCCCUCACCUAUGCUGGAGUUCAGUGACUGCACCAUGCCGGAUUACAUCCUCAGCACCAUCAAGAAGAACGGUUUCCAGAACCCAACUCCUAUCCAGGCGCAGGGCUGGCCGAUCGCCCUGUCCGGCCGCGACAUGGUCGGUAUCGCUCAGACCGGCUCCGGCAAAACUCUCGGCUACAUGCUGCCUGCCAUCAUCCACAUCAACCACCAGGACUACCUGCGUCCCGGCGACGGCCCCAUCGCGCUCAUCCUGGCUCCGACCCGUGAGCUGGCCCAACAGAUCUCCGAGGUGGCCAACGAGUUUGGCCGCUCGUCCAAACUGAGGCAUACCUGUGUGUACGGAGGUGCUCCCAAGGGCGCUCAGCUUCGGGAUCUGGAGCGUGGUGUGGAGAUCUGCAUCGCGACGCCCGGCCGCCUGAUCGAUUUUCUGGAGAUGGGCAAGACCAACCUGCGUCGCUGCACCUACCUGGUGCUCGACGAGGCUGACAGGAUGCUGGACAUGGGUUUCGAGCCGCAGAUCAGGAAGAUUGUGGAGCAGAUCCGGCCCGACAGGCAGACGCUCAUGUGGAGUGCCACCUGGCCUAAGGAGGUCCGUCGUCUAGCGGAGGAGUUCCUGACCGACUACACCCAGCUGAAUGUGGGAUCCCUGGACCUGUCGGCCAACCACAACAUCCUGCAGAUUGUCGACGUCUGUGAGAGCCACGAAAAGUUCCAGAAGCUGUUCCGCCUGCUGGAAGAAAUCAUGGCCGAGAAGGAGAACAAGACAAUCAUCUUCACCGAGACGAAGCGCGGCUCUGACGAGCUGACCCGCCAGAUGCGCCGCGAGGGAUGGCCGGGCAUGUGCAUCCACGGCGACAAGUCGCAGCAGGAGCGCGACUGGGUGCUACGGGAGUUCCGUAGCGGCCGCUCGCCCAUCCUCGUCGCCACUGAUGUGGCCGCGCGCGGUCUGGAGACUGGCAGCGGUAGUCGUGGAGGCGCUCUGGGCGCCCGCCGGCCCAGCACUGUCGACCCGCCGGUAGGUACCGGGCCGGCUGGACAGGCGAGCCGGGGGCGCAGCCCUCUGCAGCGCCCGUCACCGGCUGACCGGCGCCCGAGCGACCUAGCCAGCUCAGCAGAUACUCCCAGCCACCGCUCUAAAUUGGGCCCGCCGAGGGCGCAGAAUGGCUGCGCCCCCGGCCGAAGACAGAGUGGCAUUUGACGGGAGUGCAGCUGGUGGUCAAACCUCCGCGCCCGCUGGAGAUCUGGGCAGACUGACCGACUGGAAGGGGAACGAGAGAAGAGGGAUGGCGGAGAUGGGAGAAGGAGCUGGGUCGCGGGAAGGAAGUGGAAUGGGGGAAGGAAUGGCAUGGGGUGGAAGGGAAAAUAGGGGUAGAUUUUGGGUAUUUGCUAUUUGUUUUAUAAUUCUGGUGGUGGGUUUCAUUGGAUACUUGGUGGACGAAUUGUGCACUGAUUAUUCUGGGAAGGCACGGGGCAUUAUUCGGGGAGCUGCUGCCUCUACUGGCCGCCGAGGCGGCGGUCGCGGCCGACUGUGCCGCGGCCCGCGCUGGAGGUGCGUGCAGCCGGCCACCGGCGGCCGAGCUGUCAGCCGCCGGAGCUGCGGCCUCUGUCCCGGCCGGUCGGACGCCCAGGCAGAGCGCGAGGGAGGCGGGAGAGAGCGGGCGCGCACGGCUCACGUGAGUAGCAGCGCCGGGCCGCCGCCGGCCGGUAGCAGCUCUCAGCUGGAGACCUUCCCUUGGGACCGGGACGCGCCGGCGGCGGCGGCCCGUGUGCCGGGGGCGCCGAGCGAGAGACGGUAACUGACAGCUGCGAUCGUAACUAUAAACUAUCGUUUGGUGGUCCCCGUAACCGUCGACCGCUUCCUAACAACCCCCACCUCCCAUCUACAACAACCCAUCGCUAACGAACGCUCCCGUGUGCCCCAGACGUGAGCGACGUGAAAUUCGUCAUCAACUUCGACUACCCCAACAACUCCGAGGACUACAUCCACCGGAUCGGCCGCACGGGCCGCAGCAACAACAGCGGCACCGCCUACACGUUCUUCACGCCGGAGAACGCGGCCAAGGCUCGCGACCUGGUCUCUGUGCUGCGAGAGGCCAACCAGGUGGUCAACCCGAAACUGGUCGACCUGCAGAACUCGAGCCGCGCCUACGGCGGCGGACGCAGCCGCUACGGAGGCGGCGGCGGCCGUCGUUCGGGCGGAGGUUUCGGCGGCAGCCGCGGAGGCAGUCGGUGGUGAGCAGUCGCCGCUGACUAGGUCUAGCCAUUAAAUGUUUAAUUUUCACACUCGUCAUGUCUCAUUUCUGACGCGCCGCUGCGUCUCGCGGUGUGCCGCUCGAGUCGUACGGACGCGCCGCACAUUCCCAUUAACAUCUGGAUGGAGAUGAACGGCGGGAUGGGCCGUGCGGCUGCGCCUUACUGCGUGCAGUGGGAAGGCGCCCUACGGUUCUGUCUCGCCUCGUAUAGCGGUGGGAAGCCCUGUCUUGCGUCGUGUGGCGGGCAGGCGCCCCUACGGCCCUGUCCCGCCCUGUAUAGCGCCGGUCGCGUCCACCCGUACGGCGCCCUCUGAUCUUCAGUGGUGUAUUGAUGUGAUGUGGCUCCAACUGAGCCAACCAGCCGGCUGACCGGCUCUCAGAAAGAUGGUCCAAGUACUGUGUCUGAAGGCGCGACCACCGACCGCCGCAGACCUAUAGAGAUAGUAGCUGCUGUUCGCCUGUGCACCGACACCUAACGCAGGCCACUCCGUACAAGGAAAUACACGUUUUAAAACGAAACUGA